UGCAGGUAAAGAGCCUAUGCGUCUCUGACACACGAUAAAUGCUGAGUGCAGGUUGGUAAGGGGCCUUGGUGCCAUCAUGACAGGUCAGGUAGGCUCUGACCUUCUGGAGGCCAGUGGCUUUGUGUUGUUCAUCUUUCAUUUCCAACAGCUAGCACAGUUUUGCACACAUAUUUUUGAGUGAAUGAAUUGAUAAACAAUUGGACAAAUUUCAAGUCCAAAACACAUCUGAACUUUAAAUUUCUUCCACUUUGGUAUCCUUGCCUAGUGGUCACUUUGUUUUUCCUAAACUUCCAGGAACAGGGCACUUACUGUCUACAAAUGGAUGCUGUGCUAACCACCAUGGGCAAUUUGGAUCAAGUGGAGGCCCUGAUGCUCAUCUUUUCUAGAAUGGAAUCUCCCAGUAUCAUCCUUCUGAAAAGGUUUCCAACCUGCAAUCACUCUAGAUGUUCUCUGAGUCAUUUCUAAGUGCAGUCUGAUGCGUGCCAAGAAAAGGAAGACCAGGACUGCAGCAAGAGACCGAACAGCAUGAGGCCUAGCCUCCUCCCAUGACCCCAGAUCCCCAGACACACUCAUAACAGCACUGGAAACAAGAUGUGUCCCUAGCAGACCAGAAAUUAUGAGAUCUCUAAAGAUGGAUGAUAGAAUUAGAUUAAGGAAAUCAGGAAAUCACAACCGGUAAUGCACACAGUAAAACCUAAACAAAACAAUAUACCCUCCGUUCCCCCAACCCCACCCCACUACUGAAUCCUAUAAGCUAAUCUUAAAUAUUGGUACAAAAUUUUGAAUAAAAUAUUAUAAUUAA